rnacentral:rRNA from 1 species
CGCGUAGGCGGUGCUCUAAGUCCCGUGUGAAAUCCCCGGCUCAACUGGGGAAUGGCACGGGAAACUGGAGUGCUUGAGUUCGGGAGAGGGAAGCGGAAUUCCGGGUGUAGCGGUGAAAUGCGUAGAUAUCCGGAGGAACACCGGUGGCGAAGGCGGCUUCCCGGACCGACACUGACGCUGAGGCGCGAAAGCUAGGGGAGCAAACG